rnacentral:rRNA from 1 species
UACGGAGGGUGCAAGCGUUAUCCGGAUUUACUGGGUUUAAAGGGUAUGUAGGCGGGCUGUUUAGUCAGUGGUGAAAUCUCCGGGCUCAACCCGGAAACUGCCAUUGAUACUAAUGGUCUUGAAUUUUGUUGAGGUAGGCGGAAUAAGUCAUGUAGCGGUGAAAUGCAUAGAUAUGACUUAGAACACCAAUUGCGAAGGCAGCUUGCUAAACAAAUAUUGACGCUGAGGCACGAAAGCGUGGGGAUCAAACAGG